UUAAUUUUGAUAUUAUAAAAAUAAUUUGUGAGUUAGUAAAGAAUGUCAAAUACGGCAAAAACAUUUAGUUUUCUUAUUUCACCAGAACAAAACUUACAGCAGCAGUACACUUUCGAGCCAACAGCAAGGACUUUAUUCCUUAUGUACAUACACAUAUAUAGACCCUUAAUAUAAGCUCAUUACUUUGAUCACGCACUAACUAAUUACUGUGACCUAGGCCCUGGACUAAACACAGUCAGCUCCUGCCUGUUGUACUUCAACCUCUGAGCUUCAUCCCUCGACACUUGGAACGAGUUCUGGAUAACGUCCAACGGCAGCCCUCUAAUCACCGAAGCCCUUCCGGCCAGCUGGCUUGUCAUGGCGACGUCGUUUGUCUUGAAUGAUAUCCACUCCAAUCCACGGUUGCUUGCCCUCUUCACCACGGCGAAGCCCUGCGGGACAACGAUCAGCUGACCCUCCCGGAUUUGACCGUCGAACACAUUCUCCCCGUUCUCCGCCACAAUUUGCAUCCUGCCGUUGCCCCUUGUUAUGUAGACUACGCUGUGGGCAUUCAAGUUCCAGUGUGGCGCCAUCAUGGCAUUCUACUUGCACAAGCAAAAUAAUUCGUUUCAAAUCACAAUUAUAAAUUUGUUAUCUCAAAUGACGUGAUAUUUACUGAUUUUUUUUCUCUCACCUGGUAGAGGUUCCCUUUCUCAGCACUAAGCUGAAUGUAUCGAAGGAUAGGAAGGUUGAAUCUGUUGACGGUGGUGACGCGUCCGCCGCGGGGGUUGUACGCGUCAGCACCCGAUGGGUCAUUGAUGUUGUGCUUUAGCUUCAUUGUACAGAUAGUUUCCUCGAUGCCAUUGUCUCCGCUUCCUUGGAAUUCUUGUUCUUGUUCUUGUUCUUGUUCUCUGCCUCUUUGAGGUGACAGUACUCUCAGCUCUUCCUCGACUCUGACAAUAAUCCCCUUCUGCAUCUGUGGCCCCUGCAGUUUACUGAUUAGAUCUGGGUUCGCGUUGAAGGCCUCAGCCAACAGACGCUCGUCAAAGCCGCGGAAGAGAUUGCCACCUCUCCUGCUGCGGUCGCCACCCUCCCCGCCUUGGCUUCCCUGAUAUCUGCUGCCUUGACUUUGACUGUAACCUUGGAGUUGUGGUUGUGGGUUGCCACCAAGGUAGAAUUUCUGGCAACAAGAACAAGGACAACACCAAAUGUAUUGUUACGAUAUUGAAAAUAUUGCUUCAUUAUCUUAUAUAUAACAAAAACGUUUAGGUAUUAAUUACCCUCAAGAACUGAUCAAGCUGGUUAUCAGAAUUGCCAACAUCAACAAGAGCGACCACAACAAGCUCUGAUGGGCCAUCGUUGUAAAUCCAGUUAGCCGAUCCAGUAGGCAAUGCAACCAGAUCACCCUCACGUAUUUGUCUAACUUUUUGGUGUUGAUCUUGGGAUCUACUCUGACUCUCUGACGACCUUUGCUGUGAUUCUUGGUAUGUCUCGGGACAUCCGGGGAAUACAGCACCGUGAAUGCCUCUACCUGUAUUAAUUUCAUUAAUUUCAAACAUGUUAUUUACAAAACAAUUAAUCAAAACAAUUUAACUAAAUGUCGUGUGCGUGCAUGUGCAUGCGUGCAUGCGUGCAUGCUUGCUUGCCUUGAACAACAUAGAAGAGCUCAGGAGUGUUGGUGUAUGAAGGCACAACGAGGCCUCUCUGUUGGAUACGGUGGCGAAACACGGCAACAUUGGCGCAUUGUAACUGCUCGUCGUUCUGGUCCCAGAACUCUGUGACGCCAGCUUCGGACUCUACCCGUUGUUGGGGUUCGAGGGCGUUGAGGUCCUGGAUAUUACACUGGGUUUGGAAGCGUUGCUGCUGUUGCUGUUGCUCCCGAGUUGCGUCUGUUCCCUGCGCUAUCUGAGCAAAGCAGGCGUGGAAGAGAAUUAGAAACCCAAGCCCUAAACAAAGCAAAUAAGUGGAAGCCAUUUUGAAAAGAAAGAAAAAAAUUGCUGUGAUGAAGAGAGUG
rnacentral:lncRNA from 1 species